ACAAAAUAAAAUUGGAAUGAUACAGAAGAUUAGCAUGGUCCCUGCACAAGGAUAACAUGCAAAUUCAUAAAGCAUUCCAUAUUUUU
rnacentral:snRNA from 1 species